rnacentral:rRNA from 1 species
CAAUAGCGUAUAUUAAAGUUGUUGCGGUUAAAAGCUCGUAGUUGGAUUUCUGUUGAUAACGGCCGGUCCGCACUAUGUGCGUGUAUCAGGUUCGGUGUCGGCAUCCUCGUGGGGAUCGUUUCUGUGCUUGAUUGCAUGGGGCGGAAUUCACGACUUUUACUUGAGGAAAUUAGAGUGUUCACGGCAAGCUAUCGCUUUGAAUACAUUAGCAUGGAAUAAUAAUCUAGGACUUCGGUUCUAUUUUGUUGGUUUCUAGAUCUGGAGUAAUGAUUGAUAGGGAUAGUUGGGGGUGCUAGUAUUAAGGGGCCAGAGGUGAAAUUCUUGGAUUCUCUUAAGACUAACUUAUGCGAAAGCAUUCACCAAGGAUGUCUUCUUUAAUCAAGAACGAAAGUUGGGGGAUCGAAGAUGAUCAGAUACCG